rnacentral:rRNA from 1 species
UUGAAAGGGAAACGAUUGAAGUCAGUCGUACCUAUGGGUAAUCAGCCUUUUGGGUGUGAUUUUGUGGAGCGUGAGGAGUUAAACGCCUUCAUGCCUGCAUAUUCGUGCACUUUGGGUGUACUUGCCCGUGUGUAAGUUAACAUCAAUUUUGGUGGUCAUAAAAUGGCUGGAGGAAUGUAGCUUCGAUCUUGUAUUGAAGUGUUAUAGCCUUCGGUAGAUGUGACGAUCGGGAUUGAGGAUUGCAACGGAUACCCUUCGGGGCUACCUGUCUGACCUCUGAAAGUUGCUCUGGUGCCGAAAGCUUGCUUACGGUUAUUAAAGUCGAUGGUCAAUAGGUUAGAAUGGGCUAAAUUCGUUAAGGAUGU